UACGUAGGGGGCGAGCGUUGUCCGGAUUUACUGGGCGUAAAGAGUGCGUAGGUGGCUUUGCAAGUCAGAUGUGAAAUACCGGGGCUUAACCCCGGGGCUGCAUCUGAAACUGUAGAGCUAGAGUACAGGAGGGGAAAGCGGAAUUCCUAGUGGAGCGGUGAAAUGCGUAGAGAUUAGGAGGAACACCGGUGGCGAAGGCGGCUUUCUGGACUGCAACUGACACUGAGGCACGAAAGCGUGGGGAGCAAACA
rnacentral:rRNA from 1 species